UACGGGGGGAGCAAGCGUUGUUCGGAUUUACUGGGCGUAAAGGGCGCGUAGGCGGCGCAACAAGUCACUUGUGAAAUCUCCGGGCUUAACCCGGAGCGGCCAAGUGAUACUGUCGUGCUAGAGUGCGGAAGGGGCUACUGGAAUUCUCGGUGUAGCGGUGAAAUGCGUAGAUAUCGAGAGGAACACCUGCGGCGAAGGCGGCAUCCUGGACCGGCAUUGACGCUGAGGCGCGAAAGCCAGGGGAGCAAACGGG
rnacentral:rRNA from 1 species